rnacentral:lncRNA from 1 species
AGAGAGAGAGAGUUCAGACGCCGGAGCGGACGUCGGCGAACUUGGCCUUGAUCCACUUGAAGCUGCUCCUGACCGAGGACUUGAGCUUAGCUUCGACGGUGAAGACGUUGUAGGCCGCGACACGCCGCUUGCGUUUGAGCUCGGGAUCGCUGGAGGUGGCGAAGCCGUCCCGCUUCCCGCUCGGCCCGUUAAAGCUGUAGGAGUUGGAUCGGAUUUCGUCGAACACACCCGAAUAUGAAGACGAGUACGGGUACUCGGGGAAGGACCUACUCUUCUCCAUUCGCGAGAGCGAGAGUGAGAGAGAGAGAGAGGAGGAGGAGGAGGCGAGGAAAUAAAGAGAGAGGGAGAGAGAGAAUUGAGACAGUGAGGGAGAGCGAAUGAUAGCUUUUAGGUAAAAAUGCAAGGAGAAUUAAUGAUGAUGGAGCUGUGAACGUCGAUAGUGGGGUGCCCCACGUGCGAUGUUGGAAGGGAAUUGCUUUCCUCCUCUC